rnacentral:lncRNA from 1 species
AUAUUUUCUCUCAAAAUCUUGUUACAAUAUAUCUACUAAAAAUCUAAUCAAAUAUAUCACAUGAAUAAUCAAAUCUUUAUUAAAAAAAAGUAUUACAAUUGGGUUUUGGUUUCUCACGUCUAAACACAUGAAUAAUCAAUCUUCCUUUGCUCCAUGCUUCUUCCUUUGUUAAUUAUUCUUUCUUCUAAGAAAUUUCAGUUCUUCCUCUAAAAAAAACUUCAAAUCUUCUUCCUCUAAAAAAACUCUUGCUUUAGAGUAUCUUUGUCCUUCUUCACCGCAAGAAUUUCUUAAGUGUGAAAACCAAUAAACACACAAUGAGAAAAAGAAGAAGAAGAAAGAGUUUAGAAGAUGAACUUAUCGAUAUGAUUUUCUAGAAAUGUAAAUCUGUAUAUAACUUGAUUCACCUGGAGUUGUAUGGUUGGAAAGAAAAACUUCUUUGAAAAUUCUCAGAGAAGAGUUUUUGUCGUGUGAUGAUUUUCAUAUUUUUUGUUUGUGUUUU